GAUACCAUCUGGGACCCCACUCAUAAGGUGAUCAAAUCUCUCGCAGCCCACAUCUCCAGCUCCUGGGAGGUUAGGAGCACAAUACCUUGCUGAGUUUUUCUAUUUGGCGCUCUAGCUCUGGGAUGCUUGAUGCUGUGGCAUCAACCU